GACGAACGCUGGCGGCGUGCCUAAUACAUGCAAGUAGAACGCAGUUGCGAACGGGUGAGUAACGCGUAGGUUACUGCUUCAUUGCGGGGGAUAACUAUUGGAAACGAUAGCUAAUACUGCAUACUGCGAGAUGGACUUGCGUUGUAUUAGCGAGUUGGUGUGGUAAAGGCUCACCAAGGCGACGAUACAUAGCCGACCUGAGAGGGAUGUCGGCCACCCUGUGACAGAGGAACGGCCGUGACUCCGGAGGGGAGCAGCAGUAGGGAAUCUUCGGCAAUGGAGGAGAAUCGGACCGAGCAACGCGGCGUGAGUGAAGAAGGUUUUCGGAUCGUAGGACGCUGUUGUUAGAGAAGCGGUAACUAACCAGAAAGCAACGGCUAACUACGUGCCAGCAGCCGCGGUAAUAC
rnacentral:rRNA from 1 species